AGAGUUUGAUCCUGGCUCAGGACGAACGCUGGCGGCGUGCUUAACACAUGCAAGUCACGGGGGCCCGCAAGGGCAACCGGCGAACGGGUGCGUAACACGUGAGCAACCUGCCUAUCUGUGGGGGAUAGCCGGCCCAACGGCCGGGUAAUACCGCAUACGCUCUCCGGGGGACAUCCCCUGGUGAGGAAAACUCCGGUGCAGAUAGAGGGGCUCGCGACCUAUCAGCUAGUUGGCGAGGUAACGGCUCACCAAGGCGACGACGGGUAGCUGGUCUGAGAGGAUGGCCAGCCACAUUGGGACUGCGACACGGCCCAGACUCCUACGGGAGGCAGCAGUGGGGAAUAUUGCGCAAUGGACGAAAGUCUGACGCAGCGACGCCGCGUGUGGGAUGAAGCUCUUCGGGGUGUAAACCACUGUUGCCAGGGAAGAAACUCUUGAUUCGUCAAGACUGACGGUACCUGGUGAGGAAGCACCGGCUAACUCUGUGCCAGCAGCCGCGGUAAUACAGAGGGUGCGAGCGUUGUCCGGAAUCACUGGGCGUAAAGGGCGCGUAGGUGGCGGGAUAAGUGUGUGGUGAAAGCUCGGGGCUCAACCCCGAGUCUGCCAUGCAGACUGUCUUGCUCGANCGUAGUANAGGCAGGUGGAAUUCCGGGUGUAGCGGUGGAAUGCGUANAGAUCCNGAANAACACCGGU
rnacentral:rRNA from 1 species